rnacentral:misc_RNA from 1 species
GUGUCUUCAGAUGAUGAUCCCAAGCCUUCUGGCGUCUAUAAAAUAGGCCUUUAUUGGACUUUCAGGACAGUACUUUCCAUUUUAUAAGAUUAUGCCGGGGAAGGUUUUCCGGUUUAUCCCGGAGGGCUUGUAGCUCAGUUGGUUAGAGCGCGCGCUUGAUAAGCGUGAGGUCGGAGGUUCAAGUCCUCCCAGGCCCACCAAUUAAAUUAAGUGCUUUUACAGUGCUUAUAUGUAUAAGGGUGUAAUGUCCUUUUCCAUAUGAAUUUAAUAUUUAUCAAUGACGCUGAAGUGAUUUAAACUCGACAUAAAGUUAAGAGUUCCAAUUCUUUAUMCUUUUUAGGGGCCGUAGCUCAGCUGGGAGAGCACCUGCUUUGCAAGCAGGGGGUCGUCGGUUCA